AGCGCUUGAACUUGCAGUCCCUAUGCUUUCUGUUGCACCAGAAGGCCUUGAUGCCACUUAAAUCGCCCAAGUCCUCACCAAAGAAAAUCGGAUCCUCGGCCAGCUAGUCCUCCUCCUCGCCACGGCAUUACGAAGUCAAGCGCUUCAAUGUUCUUCUAGGGACGACGUGAUUUUUUAACUCCACACAAAAGAAAGCAGAAAUGUUUGUCCGAUAUAUUGUUGUUGCAAUUAAACAGAUUCCGCAGUGCGUUGAUAUGGCCAGCUACCACCUACUAAUACACCUCAUACACCUCUCCUCUAAAUACUUGGUUCAAAGUGUUCGGUCCAAGCUGGUCAUAUCAAGCACUCAUUCGAGUAGCAAAGCAUACUUUUCGUUAAUAGUGGUAAUCACCUGGGUAUAAUAAUAAUAUUAAUCAAUAAAGCAUUCAAUUCAGUUUUUUAUUUAAUUUUAUGUUAAAAGAGUUUCCAAAAGUGUUUUCCUGACUACAUCAAAUAUUUUUUGAUAAUUUAAUUUCAAAUUUAACAAUAUUCUUUAAAUAUACAAAUUCUGGUUUAAUGUGUUAUAGGAGUGAGUAGAAGGUUAAAACAUUAUUUUUAACUUAAAAUAAAAUUAUAAUUUUGAUUCAAUCAUUUUUAUGUAAUUCUUUUUGUAGAGUAUUCAAUACUGGCAACUUCGUAUUUUAGUUCGAUUUCCCAUGCUGUUUUUGGUUAAUUUCCAACAUACCAGAUUGAUUUCGCUCGUAAAUUUAAACGCACUUUAUUGCCUUUUUGGAAGAACGUUGCUUCAAAACGGAAAAUCGAAGGAAAACCUGACCGGACCUAAGGGACAGCCUUGGGGGGAAAACUGGCAGUGCAUUUUCCCAGCCCCAAAGAUUUUCCCCGGCACGUCGGGGAACUUAUUAUGAAAUAAAAGAACUAAUACUUAUUAUGCCAGCCGAACAUAAAACAAACUUUCGAGUCUAGAGUUCCCAUCUGCAAGGGCAUGACAGAGUCCUGG
rnacentral:lncRNA from 1 species